ACAUCUUAAAUUUUAUUUCAGCAAAAUCUGAACUAACAAAGAGUUCAACUUAUCAACGUUUAGUAAAUCUCUAUCAAAAAAGAGGAUUUAGAGCAUUAUUUACUGGCAUAGUUCCCCGUGUGGUGAAAGUAGCUCCUGCAUGUGCAAUUAUGAUAAGUACUUAUGAAUUUGGGAAACAUUUUUUUCGCCAGUUUAAUUCCAGCAAAACAAAUAACGAUUUUUGAAAUUAUCGUUUAUCUGUGAUUAGAAUUUAUUAAUAAUUUAUGAAAGUCAAUUAUUUAAAGUUAUAAGGUAGACAUGAUCUAAGUAUGAAAUAUCACUUUUGCUUAUAACUGUUUAUCAUAUGUCCUUAAAAUAUAAACAUAUGAUAACAAAAACAUAUUCAUAGUGGAUGUAACAAUUUCUUUAAUGUUGAUUUUGUCUGAAAAUACAUUGUCAUGUAUUUUAAGUGAUAUGACUGUACAUAUUUAUGAAAUGGCAAAUAUAAAUGCAAAACAUGAUAUCAUACAGUACAAUCUUUUAUAUGUAUUUAGACCUUCCUAGAUAGAUUUAAUGUAUAGUAUAACAAUGGUAAUAUACUAUUAGAACUUUCCAAUAUUAAAUUUAUUAUGAGGUGAUUUAGGAAUUUAAAGAUGUAAUGCAAUAUAUAUAUUUUCCUUCAGAUUAAAUUUAAAAUAUUUUGUUUUCAAAUAACCAGCCUUUGAACUUUCAUAUGUAAAUAAUAACCAUUAUUUUUUACAAUGUAUUCUGUAUUAUGCUUAUUUUUCAAAACGUUUUGGAGGAUACUGAAUGAUUAAAUAAACAUAUUUAAAAACA